CUCCAUUUUGUCGUGUCCGCUUGUGGAGCUAAGUGUUGAAUGUUCAGUUGUGAUUUGGUGAGAAGCAUGGACACUACCUGUCAGCUCAGUGUGAAUCAUGUCUGGAAAUGUCACUUCAGUGCUGUUUCUGAAGGUGUGAGCUAAGGGAGCACCAGAACAUUAGGUUUGUUCCAGUCACUAAUGAAGCUUCAUCCCUAACAUGGAUCAGCAGUUGCUUUGAUGUUCUCCAGCCGUUUCUUCUCCGAUACUGUACCUUUGGAAUCUGGAGUCAACAGUAUGCUGAAGAUUCAGCCACCCACGGUUUGUGUGCUGGAUGAGAAAGUCGUGCUGUUCGAUUACUUUGAGAAAAGUAACAAUUUUAAAGUGGUGUGUCUCAGCUGGUUAAUGCACAAAGACUGCACUCUUGUAUGUUGCACAAAUAAAGAUGAGUCCUCUGUAGUUCA